UGACUGAGCGGCGGACGGGUGAGUAACGCGUGGGUAACCUGCCUCAUACAGGGGAAUAACAGUUAGAAAUGGCUGCUAAUGCCGCAUAAGCGCACAGGACCGCAUGGUCUGGUGUGAAAAACUCCGGUGGUAUGAGAUGGACCCGCGUCUGAUUAGGUAGUUGGCGGGGUAACGGCCCACCAAGCCGACGAUCAGUAGCCGACCUGAGAGGGUGACCGGCCACAUUGGGACUGAGACACGGCCCAGACUCCUACGGGAGGCAGCAGUGGGGAAUAUUGCACAAUGGAGGAAACUCUGAUGCAGCGACGCCGCGUGAAGGAAGAAGUAUCUCGGUAUGUAAACUUCUAUCAGCAGGGAAGAAAAUGACGGUACCUGACUAAGAAGCCCCGGCUAACUACGUGCCAGCAGCCGCGGUAAUACGUAGGGGGCAAGCGUUAUCCGGAUUUACUGGGUGUAAAGGGAGCGUAGACGGACGGGCAAGUCUGAUGUGAAAGCCCGGGGCUUAACCCCGGGACUGCAUUGGAAACUGUCCAUCUUGAGUGCCGGAGAGGUAAGCGGAAUUCCUAGUGUAGCGGUGAAAUGCGUAGAUAUUAGGAGGAACACCAGUGGCGAAGGCGGCUUACUGGA
rnacentral:rRNA from 1 species